ACCAUCCUUUCCUGGGGUUGCGCUACUGUCCAAUGAGUGCAUAAUGAGGGCUGUACUGCUAAUGCCUACGUAACAUGCCCACAUCAACUAGAGGUUUGCUUUACCUUGGUGCAAUUAUUUAAAAA
ensembl:snRNA